UGAGGAAUAUUGGUCAAUGGGCGCGAGCCUGAACCAGCCAAGUAGCGUGAAGGAUGACUGCCCUAUGGGUUGUAAACUUCUUUUAUAUGGGAAUAAAGUUCAGUAUGUAAUACUGUUUUGUAUGUACCAUAUGAAUAAGGAUCGGCUAACUCCGUGCCAGCAGCCGCGGUAAUACGGAGGAUCCGAGCGUUAUCCGGAUUUAUUGGGUUUAAAGGGAGCGUAGGCGGGGCUUGAAGUCAGUUGUGAAAGUUUGCGGCUCAACCGUAAAAUUGCAGUUGAUACUGGGUCCCUUGAGUGCGGCAGAGGCAGGCGGAAUUCGUGGUGUAGCGGUGAAAUGCUUAGAUAUCACGAAGAACUCCUAUUGCGAAGGCAGCUCACUAAAACUGCAACUGACAUUGAGGCUCGAAAGUGUGGGGUAUCAAACAGGAUUAGAUACC
rnacentral:rRNA from 1 species